ensembl:lncRNA
CAGCGCUGUGUCCCGUUCUCCUCGCGGCCCCCCGGAGUCGUUGCGGGCGGGGCCCCCGCGGUGCCCCCGUGGAGCGUGUGUGCGCCGCGCUCACCCGGCCCCGGAGCCGGACAAACAAUGUGAGACUCGGAGGAACAAAAGCCUCGGGGCUUGGGUUGCUGAACACGUCUGAGGCCAGACAAGCCGCUCAGUUUAUUGGACUUGGUGAGAAAAUAAUAAUAAUAAUAAUAAUAAUAAUAAUAAUAAUAAUAAUAAUAAUAAUAAAGAAAUAGGGGGUGAGGCGGAGGAGGAGGGGGGGGCCGGAGGAAUCUGUCUCUCAAAGCGUCUUUAUUAGGGACCGAGGGCGGCGGCAGCGCUGCGGGGCCGGGCUGAGGAUGCUCCGGGAGCGGGGGAGCGGAGAGGGGGGGGGUCCUACUCCUGCCGUCCGUCUGCACGGGACUGGGGGGCGUGGGGUGGGUUCUUCCUGAGCCCCCCCCACCCCACCUUCUGCAGUGCCCCACGGAACUGUUCUGGGAAAGUUUGAGAAGGGCCGGUCACGGACCGAGCACCGCCGCCCUUUGCCGUGACCCCCUCCGCGCCCCGAUCCCCAAAAUUUCGGGGCAGGGAUGGAGAUCUGAGAUCUCCUCCUCACCCUCCCUCUCCAAGGAAGGGAGGCCCGCGCGAGGAGAGGCUGUGCAAAAUCCGGCAAUUCCGGCUGCCCUCAUUCGCCUCCCAUCUCGCCCCACUCGUGCACAACCCAGUGCCGAACCGUGGGGGGCAGAGGUGCAGCCGGGGGGCCUCCGCGCUCUGCUCGGAGCCGCUCACGGGGCUCCCCGAGGCCCCCAGCAAGAGAGAGGGGCCGAGCGCAGCGCGUCACAGCGCGGGGACAUUCACGCAGGGGGGGCUCUGAGAUGAGAGGGUCCCUCCCCCACAUCGGUGUGGUCCCUCUUCGAUCCGUACGAGCCCCAUCACCCCUCCACAGGGCAGCACAUCUGGCCAGAUGUGAGCGGCCCGGCGCCGGCUUUUCCUCCGCACGGUUUUACCAGCCAGGAGCGAAGACACUUUUCUUUCGGAUUUUCUUUUUUUUUUUCCCCUUUUAUUUCCUAUUUAUCUCAGAAAUACGCAUCCCCGCGCCGUGUCCUUAAUUCUCCUCGCAGGCGUGGGGAGAUUGAGCUCGAGCGGUUGUGCACGGAGGGGGGGACGGGGAGGGGGGGGGGGAAGGAAAAAGAGCAGCGGGCGGCAUCUCGGUUCGUGCGCUGCGCAGCUGGGCUCUUGGGAGCCGCCGGGUGCCCCAUAUCGAGCCUUUAUAUUUUAUUUUAUUUUAUUUUAUUUUAUUUUAUUUUAUUUUAUUUUAUUUUAUUUUAUUUUAUUUUAUUUUAUUUUAUUUUAUUUUAUUUUAUUAUUUUAUUUUAUUUUAUUUUAUUUAUUUUUUAUUUUAUUUUAUUAUUCUAUUUUUUAUUUUAUUCUAUUAUUUUAUUUUAUUUUCACGCCAUGAUUCGUGCCAAUUUGAAAGCCGGCCGCCUCCUAAUCGUCCCUUAGGCGUGCGAUCCCGAGCCUCGGUCUGUGCGGCUGCUCAUUGUAUUUGUUUGCAUUUUUGUCUGGCUUCAGUUUGCGUAAGCGACUUUGUCGAAAAGCAGCAAACCAUGGAGCGGGGGGUUUUUCAUUUGCUAAUGAAACCCAAAACACACCCGGGCGUCUCCUGCAGUCCGCUCGUGUCCUCCUGCCCCGGGACGUCGUUGGGAUGGCAGAAAUGCGCCGUCAUUGGGAGAGCAGAAGUUUUGAACGCGGUGCGUCGCGUUCGGGAUGAAGAGCGGCCGGAUCGCGGUUCUUCUUCGGGAGGUUUUAGCCACCUCCGCUCCUCCUUUGCUGCGGCGCUGGGGAUGCCGUUGACUCCACCAGACAGUGGCUUCCCCUGCUGUGAUGCCCCACUCGUUUCCUGGGCAGCCAAGAGCAAUGCUUGAGUCCUGGUGGAAGUUCAUUCAGAAUUGCCUGGAGCGAAGGCUGGAGAGGAAAACCACAACCACAGCAGAGCCUGGACACGGGGAGCUGCUAGCAGGACCCAUCUCAGGGACAGUCACUGUGUGUACCUUCCUCCAUCCUCCUCCUGCUCCCAGCAGCUGAUGGCCUGGAGCAGCACAGAGCAAGCCUGGCAUCGGGCUAUAGGGACACCAGGAGCACCCCGGGGAUAGGACCCAACACCAUGCCACACUGGUGGAGAACACAAAGCUGGAAGAGGGGAAAAAAAAAAUCAACAGAAGAAGAAGAAAAGAAUGGAAACGAAAGUCUCCAAACUCAGGAGAUCUGUGUUAAUUGCUUACGAACGUCUCCAUCCCAAAAGUUAUCCGAUUGAUGUUGUCGUGCUUUUUUUUUGACAGCCUGUCUGUUAUGUAUUUUUUUUUAAAUAUUCAUGCACCGAAAUCUAAUUACUAGGCAAAUUUAAUGAUAAUGAAAUGAAGGCACUUUAGCAGAAAGCAUAGGGCCUUGUUAAUAUUUUCUCAGUCUCUGUCUUGCUCACAUUUUUUUUUCACCGCCGCCUUUCUUGCAGUAUAAAAGAAUUGCCAAAAAUAAAACUUGGAUUGCUGAAGAUGUU